GUCUGUGGAAAUAAACAUGGUUCUUGGUCUGUGGUUCUGUGCAAAUCUGUGGUAAUGUGGUGUAUCGUCUAUUGUGAUAUACUCAUUGUCAUUAUUCUUUGGUUGCAUAUAUUAUCUUAAUAUCUGUGGUUAUCAUAAACGUCAAAUAAAAAUGUUUUUAUUUUUAAUUUUAUCAAUAAAUCUGUGUUUGAAAAUUGUGAUUUCAAAAGUUAUUUUUUCACUAUUUACACCAAGGAACCGAAUACUAAACAAACACAAUUAUGCGAAUAUUUAUACGUUUGUGGUGUGUCCGAUACAUUAAAUUUAUGAGUCGUACAUUUUGAGACGAGAAAUUGUGACAAUAAACCCAAUAAACAUUCUCUCCACCGAAGAGUGACGAGGGACCAAGUGAUCAGGGACAAUGCAGUGCUGCGUACCUUUCUGUGCAAAUACAUCAGACAGUGUGCCUUCACAGAAGUCUGGUCAGUGUGAACAGCUUAGUUUUCACCGGUGAUAACACAACACAUAGAAACAAUAAAACACAAAUAAACAUCUAAAACACAAACUAGUGAAUACGCCCUUGGGACUAAACAACUCUGAAUUAAACAAAAUGGACCAAGACAACAGACACACAGACGCAAAAACUGGACACAUACUUAUUGAAAUAAACGUAGUAAAGGGUGAGAUGGAAGAUAUGACAUUGGAGUAUGACAACAUGGACAAUGACGUCACAGAAUGUAAAAACUUUGAGCACAGUGUGACGGUGAAGAUCGAACCACAAGAGAGUGAAAUUGCUGAGGCUGGACCAGCCUCAUAUGAAUGUGAAUGGAUGAAUGGUGUACAGGACCCGCUGAAGUGUGAGGUCUUGUUCAGUUGUACGGUUUGUUUGAAGGAAUUUGUUGAUGAGCAUGCAUACAACGAGCAUAUGAUCACGCACCGUCAGGGUCGCUGUUAUCGCUUCAGUUGCCUGCAUUUUGAUUUUCCUGUUUGUCGCAAAACUCGUGGACAAUGGAGUGACUGAAACAAUACAUUCUUCUUAUAAUUUAUUUCUCAACAAACAAGACAGCUAGAUAUGACUCAAAUAACCAGCUUGCUGUCGGUG
rnacentral:lncRNA from 1 species